GCUUAGGGAGGAGCUUGCGUCACAUUAGUUAGUUGGUGGGGUAAAGGCCUACCAAGACUAUGAUGUGUAGCCGGGCUGAGAGGUUGAACGGCCACAUUGGGACUGAGACACGGCCCAAACUCCUACGGGAGGCAGCAGUAGGGAAUUUUCGGCAAUGGAGGAAACUCUGACCGAGCAACGCCGCGUGAACGAUGAAGUAUUUCGGUACGUAAAGUUCUUUUAUUAGGGAAGAAUAAAUGAUGGAAAAAUCAUUCUGACGGUACCUAAUGAAUAAGCCCCGGCUAACUAUGUGCCAGCAGCCGCGGUAAUACAUAGGGGGCAAGCGUUAUCCGGAAUUAUUGGGCGUAAAGGGUGCGUAGGCUGUUAAAUAAGUUUAUGGUCUAAGUGCAAUGCUCAACAUUGUGAUGCUAUAAAAACUGUUUAGCUAGAGUAAGAUAGAGGCAAGUGGAAUUCCAUGUGUAGUGGUAAAAUGCGUAAAUAUAUGGAGGAACACCAGUAGCGAAGGCGGCUUGCUGGGUCUUUACUGACGCUGAGGCACGAAAGCGUGGGGAGCAAACAGGAUUAGAUACCCUGGUAGUCCACGCCGUAAACGAUGAGUACUAAACGUUGGGUAAAACCAGUGUUGAAGUUAACACAUUAAGUACUCCGCCUGAGUAGUACGUACGCAAGUAUGAAACUUAAAGGAAUUGACGGGACUCCGCACAAGCGGUGGAUCAUGUUGUUUAAUUCGAAGGUACCCGAAAAACCUCACCAGGUCUUGACAUGCUUCUGCAAAGCUGUAGAAACACAGUGGAGGUUAUCAGUUGCACAGGUGGUGCAUGGUUGUCGUCAGCUCGUGUCGUGAGAUGUUGGGUUAAGUCCCGCAACGAGCGCAACCCUUAUUGUUAGUUGCCAGCACGUAAUGGUGGGGACUUUAGCAAGACUGCCAGUGAUAA
rnacentral:rRNA from 1 species